AUAAAUAAACAUUAACAAAAAAAAAGGAGCAGGAGGGGCGCCUGGGUGGCUCAGUUGGUUGAGCGUCCGACUUCGGCUCAGGUCAUGAUCUCACAGUUCGUGGGUUUGAGCCCCGCAUCAGGCUCUGUGCUGACCGCUUGCUCAGAGCCUGAAGCCUGCUUCAGAUUCUGUGUCUCCUACUCUCUCCGCCCCUCCCCCGUUCAUGCUUUGUCUCACUGUUUCUCAAAAAUAAAUGUAAAAAAAAAAAAAAUUAAAAAAAAAAAAGGAGCAGGAAACUAAGUGACAGGUAUUAUAAAUUGAGAGGAUAGCGUGUUUCGAAAAGAAGGACUGGUCAACUAUGUCAAAUGAGAGGUUGUAUAAGAUGAGAGAAAAAUGUCCAGUGCGUUUAGCAAUCUGGGGGGAGUUAGCACACUUAAUUAUUUUGAGGUGUCUCAAAGGAGCGGCAGCUUCAGAAACUAGUGGGAAGCCCCUUGAGGAGGGAGCAGGUGACUAGUAUGAGAAGUUGGGCUAUAACAAGUACUGGAGAAAGGAGGCAGCUGGGGAGCUGGGGUAUUGUCUUCAAGGUGGGACCUGAGCAAGUUUGCACACUGAGGAGGAGGAGCAGAGGAGGAGUCGCGGGGCCAGAGAGCAAGGGAAGGAGGGAGGCUGGGAGGCAGCUCUGGGAAGGCCAGAAGCCAGUACAGGUGCGGGUAAGCCCCUGACAGCACUACGCUCAAUGCAUACAUUGUGACGACUUAGAAAACGGAAUGUGGCUGCAGACGCACAUGGUUUCUGAGACUGAGUGGUAAAGAACCUCUGAUACUUUUCCUUUCCCGAAUGAAAUACGAGGUGAAGCCGUCACCUGAGAGUGAGGAGAGGAGAGGAAUAUAGGAAGUAGGGGGAAAGGUGCGGAGAGCAAGGAGGCCAAGUUCCUAGGAGGCCAAGUGAUUCGCCUCCCGGAAUUUUGUGGUGGAGAACUCAGGAGUGAAACCAGUCGGUCUGGUUUUUCCAUGUUCUCUGGCAAAUGUGGCUGCUUGAAUUCAGGCUAGUCCAAAGUGGAUAUGCUUUUCGUUCACAAGGGUUUUACCAGAUGAGUAAGAGGGGCAAAGGAACUUGUGUUUGUGAGCGAGUGAUUGUAACGAUGGGCUAGUAAACGGUGUACAGAUUUCAGUAAGGGUCUAUAGGUGCUGAGCUCUAAGGACAGGAAAUGACUGCGAGAAUAGCCAGCUAGAACGUGAGGUUUCAGAGGUCAUACUUAUAUUGAUUGGUGAGGUUUGGAGGGAUGGCGGGGGUUCAGAGCCAAUGACCAAGAAAGAACUCUUGAGAUGUUUUUGGUGCAACAGGGUGAUGUUAUUAAAGCACAGGGACAGGACUUGUGGGCCGAAAGAGCUGCGCGGGGGUCCUGAGGAGUGACUGGUUACACACCUUGGAGUUGGGGGAGGUAAAUCAAAGGGAGGCCUCCAGAAGGACUUUCAUAUGCUAAAGAGGACUCCUGAGAUACCAGAGGCCUAGCUGUCGUCCGGCUAAGGUUGUUUUUCCCUCUAGCAAAGCAUUAACAUUAAGACGUAGGUUGUUCCUGGAGGAACGUUUUACUCUGCCUGCCUCAAGAAUUUGUCAAUGGGCUGCAGGUUAUGAGGAAAUUUAAUUUUGUCUACAUUUCUUUCUGUCUUUGUUUUCCCACAUCACUGAUAAUGACAAAGUCUACAGGAUGAACCAAGGAGUAGGUGACCAAGGUGGGCGACAGGAAAAGGCCACUCGAUGAGUGGGUCAAGGAAUUAAGAAGCCAGAAAACAGACAUCCUAGUUUUCAUGAGAGCACAGGACCAUAAAAAUGAGCACAGAAACUGAAACCAUGCAAAGUGAUCAUAAUAAUCAAAGAGAAAAAUCACAAUUGUCUGAUGACUUAAAAAAACUUUUGGUGAAACAUUUAAAACUCCCUUACUGCCACCUGUAAAUGUAUAGAGAAUUUUAUUAAUUGUAAAACUAAUAUUUAUUUAGUACCCUGUAUUUUAAAAUGAGAAACACUGGGAAUUAGUCAUUAAUUUCUGUGUAAAGACUUUACCAAGACUGGUUUGAAUGGUGCUUGCCUUCUCAUAAUAUCACUUCCCUUUUCUGGGCCUUGAUAAGUUUCCCUGCUCCUCCCAACGUUUUGUUUUGCAUUUUCAAUGUUGUAUAGUAUCUCUAAGUGUCUUUAAUGUGAAGUCGUUUACCAAUGUCACCUCCUUGAGAUAUCUGCAUCCUUUGUCUGGACCACCUGCCCUACCUGACCCGUGGAAUCUGGGUGCAGGCUUCCCAGCAGUGCCCUGGCCUGGGCCCGCAGCUUAACCAUCGAGCUCAGCGCUAAUCAAGUCUUGUGCACUUCCAAGAUGAUGAAACCGGACUUUACUGCGCUCAUUGUUGUAAAACAUCAUGUGGGUCUGUCACCGGGAGACAAGGAGGCAAUGCGAGAACCUGCUUUGUUGCUGUGUUGUGACCUGAGCCGCUGGAUAACUGAAGUGCGGUGACGAGUCACCGACAGGCUUUGCAGGGAGGUUGAUGAUGCAGGUCAGUCAUUAACACAGCGACCUGUGGCCUGACAACUGGCUGUGAAGUUUGUAGCCGAUGCAGUCACGCAGUUAACAUAGCAACAUAGCGUGGUAACUGAAAUCUGACCCCCGUUAUUGGGGGACCGGUGCUGUUUAACUAAACUGUGGCGAUUAAAAUUUGUGCAUACUAGAACAUGCCCCAGUGAGGACUGCCUUAGUGGACAGUUAUCUGCGUGAUAUCGAAGUCACAAAGAACGGGCAGCAGGAGUCGAGUGGAGAUGGGGAUUGGGGUCCCUUGGCUCACGUCUCCAAGUAGCUAACGAGAAGGAGCAAGCCAGGGGCCGUGGGCAGUAGCGGUGCACACACGUGAAGAGUUGUGAACCCACACGGCACACUUUGCCAGGAGCUGGAGUGGUUCAAGGUCAGAGGGGCCGCUCGCGGUACCUCCCGGCAGCUUUCGCUGAGGGACUGGGGUGGGGAGUGUGAGUCAGACUGACGUCAUCUUGGACGAGCCGCACCAGCCAUGAGGACCGCUUUGCCACCUGUGGCCUUCUGGGACGCAGCCCCCCUCCCUGCCCGACCAGGCUCUUCCCCCUGUUCAACCACACCCUUUGGCACACUCUUGGACACACUCUCGGGCCCACCUGCCUGCUCGGGCCUGGGGCGGGGUUGGGGGUGGGGGGGACUAGGAGACACACAGAUUCUCAACCAUCUCCCCCUGGCUGGUCCCCCACGUCCACACAGCCCCCAGGGCUAGAAAAGCAGGUCUCAAGGAAGGUAGGGUCGUGGAGAUCUCCUUGUCCCCUGCCCCCCAGAGACAGGCUUCCAUCUGUACAGAACCACAAACCACUUCUUGUCAAGCCGGGCAUGGCCUUUUCCUUUGGGUCUGAUGGCUCCUUCAGUCUUGGAGGUUGCUUUGCAUAUAUCUCCCUUCCACAUCACAGGGCCUCUUCCGUGGGGACAAGCCAGGCCUUGUUAAGCAAAAGGAACUCAAAAUACAUCUGGAGGAGAGGAUGCUGUUCUGUGAAGGCGCAAAGGGAGGUCGCUAGCCCGCCGUGAGAAGCUUGGAGAGGCAGGAAGUCAGAUCAGUGAGGUGCAGAUCUCUCUCGUGGCUGAAGCAAACAUCCGCGUCACAUCUCUUGCGACUCAUCCUUAGGGCUCGCUAAGGACAGUGGGAAACUGGUUCAGAAGUUACGGUCCUGACUAUGUGGCGGGACGGUCCAGCGGCCCCAGGGUGACUGCCCCCUUCUGCCGGCUCACGCAGAGGUGGCUAGAGGCCUCCAUCCGGCUUGGGGAGGAGAGAUGGGAAGAGGUCUUUGUGGUGGGAGGGAGGCUCUAACGGAAAAGACAGGAGGGCAAGAGACAGGAGGGCGUGUAAGGCAGCCUGAUGACAGGGGAGGUCAAGUGGGGGCAGCAGUGAGGAGCACUCCGGGGUCAGAGAGAUUUACAGGCACCCGGACUCCAUUAAACCUCAGGAAACUGAGGGGACCUGGCCCAGGGGGUGACAUCCAGAUGGCGACAUCACCAGUCUCGUGCGUGAGGCGAAGCGUGUGCUCCCGGGUCCGCCCUGGGGGACGCCGCUGCCUUCCCGGAGGCACACUCAUUUCUCACAGGUCGCCCGUGCCAUGGGGUCUGGUGAGGGCCCUGCUCCACACCCCGCACCUCACACGGUGCCGGGACACAGUGGACGCGGGGUGUGGUGGAACAGAACCUCUGACAAAUGAGUGCGUGGGAAGAAAGGGGCGCUGGGAUAGAUGCGGGAGAAGUGGGGGCCCGGACGAGCCACGGCGCUGACUCUGAGUCACUUCAAAAAAUUAGAGUCGGUGGAAUUUAACAAUUGAACACGUACGGGGGUUGGGAGAAGGGAAGAGAACGAGAAAAGCUGCAGGUGAUUCUGAGAUGUCAAACCAGAUGGCGAAAGCAGGUAAUGGUCUCCAGAGCUGUCAAGUGCUGGGCAUAGGCUCUUGGUUAUUUAUUACCUCACUUAAUUCACACACUGACCUUAGGAGGAAGGUAUAAUCCUCAUUUUACAAACAGUGUGAUGAGGCAGUAUAUUUUACAAUGAAUUUAUCCUGCAAGUUCACCAGGAAGGUACAUUGCAUAACAUGAGCGGUUACAUAGGCUUCUUAUUACUAACUUCUUCUGUGUCCAAGGUUCACAACUCAGAACUCCUGUCCUGAAGAUUCUUUGGGUGACAACUAUCAUGUUUAUGCUGCGUAGCAUGGAACUCUUAGUCCUGGGUCAUCAUAAGUGAAAAGAAAACUCUCCUCUACCUUUCUAUCUUCCAGCCUUUGGAUUAUUCAAACUAACUACUGGGUAUUUUCACCAUCCGUUAAGUUUGACACCGUUUUUCAUGUUCUGAUAAUCACUCGUAAACUCGUAUGAUCACAGACAUUAUCGGUUGCCUGCUCCAAGCCCACCCCUGCUUCCUGCUGGACGAGCCCUGAUUUAUAGUUGUAUCCACUCUUUUCAUGUAGCUGGGUGCUUCAGCAAAGGGGGAUACAGCCCCCGUCCCGAGGAGUGAAUUUGACCCAUCUGGUCAUAGAUAAGAACAUGAUUAAAUUAUACCCAGUUAAACAGGCGCCUGGAAAAGUCUAGGGAGAGAGGAGAAAGACAGAAGAAACUGGAUCCCUGAUCCAGUGCCUGGAAAAGAAAAUUUUCAUCUUUUAGACAGAGAGAGAGAGAGAACCAGAGGAGGGGCAGAGGGGGAGAGAGGGAGAAUCCCAAGCAGGCUCCACGCUCAGUGCAGAGCCCGACAUGGGGCUCAGUCUCCUGACUGUGAGAUCAUGACCUGAGCCAAAAUUGACAGUCAAGUGCUCAACCAACUGAGCCACCCUGGUGCCUCUCU